UGCUAAUGUCUUUGAUUCUAUUGAGUUUCUAUUGCCCUAUACAGGAAUUUGUGUACUCUUUUUAUUUUUCUCUUUUUCUUUAAAACGCACUCUCUUCUUUUGAUUUCCUAUUUUCAGCUUUUUGUUAGGCCUAUUUGAUAUUUGUUGCGGUCAAUAAUUUGAAAUUCCCUCAUUUAAGAACAAUGAAUUUAUACUCCUAUUCUUUUGUUUAUAUUGUAUUAGAUGAUACAUAGUAUAAAACAUCACAUGUGAUAUAUAACUUUUUAUUGACAAUUAUACUAUCUCAAACAACUAGUACUUACUAUUAAGCUUUUCCAUACUGUUCCUUAAGGGCAGGCUGCCAGUUUUGCAACAACACCCCCCCCCCACAAUGCGAAGGGAAAUAAUAAUAAAAAAUACAAAACAGAGGAACAAAAAAAAGAAAAAGAAAAGCAGAACCCUUUAAAAUGGGAGCUAUUAUUAAUCUUAUCUGGAGGGUGCUUGUUUUAAUUCCUUUACCUCUGUAUUGGAUUACUGCAUACUGCACUUCAAGUUUGUUUGCUGCAAUAGUUUUUUUUUGGGUUGACACACCUGUGUAUGACAAUAUUCUUCAUAUCUUGUUGCUGAUUGUUGUGAUGUUGCAUGUAUCUGAAUCCAUGUGUUUUAUGAAGAGUUACAUAUUUGUCUCUCUUUCUCAGGAAGUUGAGAAGCAUCUUUCAGAGAUGGUUGUCUCUAAAGCGCUGGUAGCAAAGAUUGAUCGGCCAAUGGGUAUAGUCUGUUUCCAGGCAGCAAAGGACAGCAAUGACAUUUUGAAUUCAUGGGCUAUGAACUUGGAGAAGUUGCUUGACCUCAUGGAGAAGAGUUGCCACCAAAUCCACAAGGAAACUAUGGUUCACAAAGCUGCCUUGAAAGUUUGAAAAUGCUGAUGGCACUAAUUGCAAGGUGUGCUCUGCUGUGUUUUGAGGACCUAUUGACAGAAACCAAAAUGGGUUGGUGUUGUUGCAGCGGGAAGAGAUUAUUAUGUGCUUUUAUCUGUUUCCUCCAUCCUUCGGCUUUAUUAAAAGAUUGAUUAAAGAUUCCACAUGGUUUCUGCCUUUAAGUCUUUUGUGCUUUUUAUUAGUGUUUUUUCUCAGUUGAUUUACUCAUUGGGAUGAUAGAUUGGUAGUUGUGAUAUGAAAAUUAGCAGGCCUAUGGUAUUUGUUGUCUACAGUAAAAUGAUUUGUGAAUCAGAUGUGGAUUAUGUUUCACUUCUAUAGUUCACAAAGUGGAUAUUUCUUUUUUGUAUACGGAGGACAUCAUUUUUGUAUGAUUAUCUAUUUGUAUGGAAUUAUUAUUUUGGGUUGGAUUAUAUUUGGUUUGUAUAGAA